GGAUGUGCCUGCCUCGUGGCUCGCCCGAUUUGCACGGUGCCUUGAUUACACGCUCGCAUUCAUGGUCACUUCCGAACCGCGUUAGUGCCUUCCGUCCCUAAACCGCCAACGACCCAGGGCGGCUUCCCUCGCGGUUUGUCAGGGAUCCGCAGGUCCCGGAGAGCCUUCGUCUUACCCGAGAUACAC
rfam:Myotis lucifugus cont2.18005, whole genome shotgun sequence.